rnacentral:tRNA from 1 species
CCCUUUGUGGUGUAGUUGGUAUCACACCCGGCUGUAAUGUUCAGAACACCGGUUGGUCACCAGUUCGACUCUGGUCGAAGGGA